rnacentral:rRNA from 1 species
CCUACGGGAGGCAGCAGUGGGGAAUAUUGCACAAUGGGGGGAACCCUGAUGCAGCAACGCCGCGUGGGUGAAGAAGUACUCCGGUAUGUAAAGCCCUAUCGGCAGGGAAGAAGCAAGACGGUACCUGACUAAGAAGCCCCGGCUAACUACGUGCCAGCAGCCGCGGUAAUACGUAGGGGGCGAGCGUUAUCCGGAUUCACUGGGUGUAAAGGGAGCGUAGACGGCCAUGCAAGCCAGGGGUGAAAGCCCGGGGCCCAACCCCGGGACUGCCCUUGGAACUGCAUGGCUGGAGUGCGGGAGGGGCAGGCGGAAUUCCUGGUGUAGCGGUGAAAUGCGUAGAUAUCAGGAGGAACACCGGCGGCGAAGGCGGCCUGCUGGACCGCGACUGACGUUGAGGCUCGAAAGCGUGGGGAGCGAACAGGAUUAGAUACCCCUGUAGUC